UACGUAGGGUGCGAGCGUUAAUCGGAAUUACUGGGCGUAAAGCGUGCGCAGGCGGCUUCGCAAGUCAGACGUGAAAUCCCCGGGCUUAACCUGGGAAUGGCGUUUGAAACUACGGAGCUGGAGUGUGGCAGAGGGAGGUAGAAUUCCACGUGUAGCGGUGAAAUGCGUAGAUACGUGGAGGAAUACCGAUGGCGAAGGCAGCCUCCUGGGCCAACACUGACGCUCAUGCACGAAAGCGUGGGGAGCAAACAGG
rnacentral:rRNA from 1 species